rnacentral:misc_RNA from 1 species
GAAAUGCGAUAAGUAAUGUGAAUUGCAGAAUUCCGUGAAUCAUCGAAUCUUUGAACGCACAUUGCGCCCCCUGGCAUUCCGGGGGGCAUGCCUGUCCGAGCGUCAUUUCUGCCCUCAAGCACGGCUUGUGUGUUGGGUGUGGUCCCCCCGGGGACCUGCCCGAAAGGCAGCGGCGACGUCCGUCUGGUCCUAGAGCGUAUGGGGCUCUGUCACUUGCUCGGGAAGGACCUGCGGGGGUUGGUCACCACCAUAUUUCACCACGGUUGACCUCGGAUCAGGUAGGAGUUACCCGCUGAACUUAAGC